GAAGACUGUUGAAAAAUCAAAUGAAUCCUUAUUAAUUUCCUGCUAGUAAAGAGAUCAAGUGCUCUACUGUAACACUGAUGAUGUUUGAGUGUGAAAAUGACAAACGUCUUCACUGAUAUUAUAUUCACUACAACUUCCCCUUUUACUCAGAAAUGAAAAAACUGUGUUGAGGAGCAUUUAAAACAUCAGCACUCUCAUCAUUAUAAUACAAAUAUUCACAAACAAUUCAACACUUGAAACAAUAAGAUUUAAUGGAGAAUUCUAGUUUUUGUUAAUCCAGAUGUCUGAACUGAUGACAUGCAGUUUCAUAUUUCUGUAAGGCGGAACCAUCUAGAGGACUGAACUCAACAUUUGACAACAUAUUGCAGAAAUGAAAAAACUGUGUUGAGGAGCAUUUAAAACAUCAGCACUCUCAUCAUUAUAAUACAAAUAUUCACAAAUAAUUCAACACUUGAAACAAUAAGAUUUAAUGGAGAAUUCUAGUUUUUGUUAAUCCAGAUGUCUGAACUGAUGACAUGCAGUUUCAUAUUUCUGUAAGGCGGAACCAUCUAGAGGACUGAACUCAACAUUUGACAACAUAUUGCAGAGUUAAUAAUGGGACGUCCAGACAGACGCCACUCCAGUGUAGGAGACGGAUUUCCAUGAACCUCACAGACACACACGAUUACAUCACUUCGUCUACAGGAGGAGUUGGAGAUUUUAGGAUGUGACAAGGAGGAGGGCAUGGCCAUGCUGUGAGGAUGCAUUGCCGGCGAUUAAUCAGAUGAUCAGUUGGAGAGCGAGAUAAAGGGGGGCUGGAGGCACCAGUUCGAGAGAGACACGCGGCCGUGAUUUUUUUUCCAGUCUGUAGAUGAUCCAGGUGUUCUUCAGUGUUUCUGUACCAGGUGUAGUUGAACGCUGGUGGAUUUCCAUCACUGAUGCAGACCGUUUACACGAUAUCGAUGCAAGACCAAAUGCAACCCACACAACCUACGGCCACUUUGCACUUCAGCACCUGCUCCGCUCUCUUUCUCAGUGGGACUCUGGAACUGCCAGUCAGCUGUGAACAAAGCUGACUUCAUUCCAGCCUUUGCCACGCAGUCCACCCUCAGCAUCCUGGCACUGACAGAAACAUGGAUACGUCCAGAGGAUACAGCAACACCUGCUGCUCUCUCCAACAACUUCUCCUUCUCUCACACCCCUCGACGCACCGGUAGGGGUGGGGGAACAGGUUUGCUCAUUCAUAACAACUGGACUUUUUCACCACACUCUUCACUAUGUAACAAUACUAGUUUUGAAUUCCAUGCUAGUACUACAAUGCAACCCACAAAAAUCCAUGUUGUUGUCAUCUAUCGCCCUCCAGGUCAGCUGACAAACUUUCAUGAGGAGAUGGAUGUCCUGCUGUCCUCCUUGCCGGAGGAUGGUAGGCCACUUGUGGUUCUUGGUGAUUUCAAUAUACACCAAGACAAGCCCCAGGCCACUGAAUUGAAUACUCUCCUGGCCUCAUUUGACUUGGAAAAACUACACACCACAGCAACUCACAGAUCGGGCAACCAGCUGGACCUAAUCUUUACACGUAACUCCCAGCACGUGCUACACCACCCAGCCCCUGGCUGUCUGACGUCCUUCGUGAACAUCGGACUGACCUCAGGGCAGCUGAGAGGAGAUGGUGGAAAUCUAAAGAUCCAGCAGAUCUAGAACAAGCUGCUGGAUGACAAUCAGUCAGGCUUUAAAAGUGGACACUCCACCGAGACCGCCCUGCUGUCUGUCACCGAGUCGCUGAGACAGGCGAAAGCUGAAUCCAGAUCAUCAGUCCUGAUUCUGCUGGACCUUUCUGCAGCCUUUGACACAGUCAACCAUCAGAUAUUACUCUCUACCCUUUCCUCGCUGGGCAUCACAGGAACUGUGCUUGACUGGUUUAAUUCCUAUCUCUCAGCCCAACGACACCACAGUGACUGCUCGAAUUUCUGCCUGCCUGGCGGACAUCUCGGCCUGGAUGAAGGAGCACCACCUGCAACUCAACCCAGCCAAGACUGAACUCCUUGUCUUUCCAACCAACCCUGAUGUUGAACACAACAUCACCGCACAGCUGGGUGCAACUACAGUAACGCCUUCCAAAUCGGUCAGAAAUCUAGGGGUAAGCAUCGACAACAGACUAAAUUUCACAGACCACAUCUCAAAGACCGCAAGAUCAUGUAGAUUUACACUCUACAAUAUCAGGAAGAUAAGACCCUUCCUCUCUGAACAUGCCACACAACUGCUUGUCCAGUCACUUGUCAUAACUAGACUGGACUACUGUAACACUCUCAUUGCAGGCCUCCCUGCAUGUGCAACUAGACCCCUCCAAGUGAUCCAGAAUGCAGCAGCACGUCUGGUCUUUAAUGAACCAAAGAGAGCACAUGUUACACCACUCCUUGUCUCUCUCCACAGGCUACUGGUUGAUGCACGUAUAAACUUCAAGGCUCUGAUGCUGGCAUACAGAACAGUUACUGGGUCUGCACCAGCAUACCUAAAAUCAUUUAUGCAGAGCUACGCGCCCACUAGAAGUCUGCGGUCGGCUAAGGAACGUCGCCUUGUUGUACCAACACAAAGAGGCACCAAAACACUUUCCCGGACUUUCAGCUUCACCACACCACGUUGGUGGAACGACCUUCCCAACUCCAUCCGUGAAGCUGACUCACUCUCUGUCUUCAAAAAACGACUAAAAACACAUCUUUUCCAUGAGCACUUAACCAGUCAUUAAAAAAAAAAAAAAAAAACUUUAUUCAAUUUUGAAUACUAUUAUGAUGCUAGUGAUACUUUGUAAUACAGCACUUUUCAUACCACUGUCUCCUAAGAUGAUUCGCUUAUGUUUUCCUCUCUUGUAAGUCGCUUUGGAUAAAAGCAUCUGCCAAAUGAAUAAAUGUAAAUGUAAAUGUAUUUACAGGUAAGAAGAUAUUUAUUAACAGAAGUUAAAGAAAUAAAAAAGGAAAUACAUCCAUUAAUAAAUUAUAUAACUGAUACAUACAAUAAAACUAAUCCAAUAAAAUGUAAUGAAUUUUAAAGAGUGCACUAGAAAGAGAUAUACAGGACACUCUGAAUAAAAUUCUAUGUAGGUGGGAGGAUGAAUUAAAAAUAAAAAUUAAUCCGCAAGACUGACAAGAAAUAUCAUAUAUUCCACACUACUCAAUCCAGUGUUUGGAGGGAAUCUGCUUGGAAGAUACAAAUGAGAUGUUUUAUAAUGCCUGUUAUUCAAAGUAAAUACAAUAGCUGGUAAAUUGUGGAGAAAAAAAGACUCAUUACAGUCAAAUACUAUAUGAGUGCUCUAAACUUAUAGAAAUGAAGUGAUUAGACAGGUUAAUUUAAUAUUUAACUGCACAAUAGAAAUAUAUCCAGAAAAUGCCAUUGUCCUUAAGAAAUAAAACUGAACAAAAUAUAUUUAGGGUAAUCAGAAUAGCAGCUUUGAAACAGAUUACAAAAAAAUGGCUUAAACCAGAACCCCCCACAAUUUCAAAGAUGGAGAGAAAUGAUUUUGGAAAUAUACCAAAUGUAGAAAAUAACAUUUAUAAUUAAUAAUAAAAGCCUGGAAUGUGAACAUAAAUGGGAUUUGCUUAAAAAUAUUAUACAUUAAUUUAGACUGUUUCCUUCAGAUUCUUGAUUUUUGAACUAAAUUAGUUAAAAUAUGAGGUAUGAUGUCCUAUCUCAUUUAAUAUAAAAAAAAAAAAAAAGGUGAUGCCUUAACUUUCUUUCCACUUUAUUUGAAAUAAAAUAUAACAUGUAAAUGAAUGAAUUACACAUGUUAUUUAUAGAAUAUGUUGUGAAUGGUUAUUUGAUAUGGUUAUUCAAAAUAACAUUGUGGGGUUUUUAUUUUUUAUUUUUUAUUUCUCUUUCUUGAUGUACAAUUUGUACAUUGUCUUUAGUAAAAAAAUUAUAAAUAAAAAGCAUAAAAGGGCUACUAUUGAUUAAUUAAAAAGUGAGCACUUGGAAUACUGUAUGCAAAAAACUGGUAUGCAAUAAUAAGAUGUAUUUGUUCUUUUUAUAAAAGACACAUUUUGUGUACUGCUUAUAUUGCUUAUUGCUUAUAUUAUUAUAACUUCAAGUAAAAUACUGUGUGUUCAUCUCCAGUCCAUGAAAGAAAGAAUGGCUUUGGGUGGCGUUCAGCCCUUUCCAUAGCAAUCUUGAGCUUUUAAUAUUUUAAAAACUAUUAUUUUUUGCAGGUAUCUUAUUAAUCCAUCUUACUGGCUGUUUUAUAGAUAGCCUAAUAUAUUGUGUUUAUAUUUUCAAAGAUAUUUUUUGCUAUGGCUAAAGAGGGUAAAUGAAAAGCAAUUAAAUUUAAAAUAAAAUACAACACUCUACAUUUAGAUUCUCAAAGAAAUAAUUUAUCAUGAAGAGUCGAUUUUGUGGAUUUCUAAGAUUUUAUUUGUAAAGUGUGCUUUCAGAGACACGGGGGAGUGACUUGAUUGCAUCAGAGAUGUCACUUUACUCACAGCUGAUUGGUUCAGCAUCUGUUAGUGAUCUGCAAUCCAGAAAGAAAUCUGUUAUGGAGCAGGUCAGCCGUGUAGUGUAAGUUACUAUGGCGAUGAACACCACUAAAAGCCGACCAACUUUCAUGGUACCUAAAACCUGGGGUUGAGGCAAACUAAUCUAAGACUUACCUGGCUAGCCACCGAAACCGGCUUCAUGGUAUAGGCCUCUGAUGUUGUACAUGUGAGAUAGUUUCUAUGGUGAGUCUUUGCUUCAUAUUUAUUUAGUUUUCAUUUAGUUUAUUUGGUUUCAAUGGCCGCUAGUGUUUUUGUUUGACUUUGAAAAUAGUAUUCAGAUAAAUGGUGUCUGGUCUCUAGAUACUGGAGUUCCCCUUUUAAUGUUGUUGUUGUUG